UUUUUUUAAUGUAUAUGUUAGAACAGUUCAAUUAGAAUAGAUCUAACAAAAUUUACUAUAAUAAUAAAUUUACCAUAGCUUUUUUGUGUGUGCAGUUUUUAUUUUUAUUUUUAAUAUGUAUGUUAGAUCAGUUCAAUUAGAACUGAUCUAAUAAAAUUUAUUAUAAUAAUAAAUUUACCAUAGCUUUUUUGUGUGUGCAGUUUUUAUUUUUAUUUUUAAUAUGUAUGUUAGAUCAGUUCAAUUAGAACUGAUCUAAUAAAAUUUAUUAUAAUAAUAAAUUUACCACAAUUUUUUUUUGUAGUUUUAUUUUUUUAAUGUGUUUGUUAGAACA
rnacentral:lncRNA from 1 species